rnacentral:rRNA from 1 species
UACGAAGGGGGCUAGCGUUGUUCGGAUUUACUGGGCGUAAAGCGCACGUAGGCGGAUUGUUAAGUCAGGGGUGAAAUCCCGGAGCUCAACUCCGGAACUGCCUUUGAUACUGGCAAUCUAGAGUCCGGAAGAGGUGAGUGGAACUCCUGGUGUAGCGGUGGAAUGCGCAGAUAUCAGGAGGAACACCGAUGGCGAAGGCGGCUCUCUGGGCAGAUACCGACGCUGAGACGCGAAAGCGUGGGAAGCAAACAGG